AGACCGGUCUACUGGUCGUGCUUUUGUACGUACUAGUAUAAUCGGUUUUUCUCUUCUGACGAACUAUAAUGCCAUCAAUUUGGUGUUAUGGGAAAUCAGGACUGUUACUUUGAAAAAAGUAGAGUGUUUAAAGCAGACUAUCGUCUGAAUACAUUAGCAUGGAAUAAUGAAAUAGGACGGACUGAUUCUAUUUCGUUGGUUUCUAGGAUCACCGUA
rnacentral:rRNA from 1 species